rnacentral:lncRNA from 1 species
CAGCUGUAAGCAACAAGGCUGAAGUCUCUGCUGCUCCACAACCUACCUGCCAGUUUGGUCACAGGAACCUGCGUGUUUCAGAUAAGAUACCUCUUGGAUACCUCUUGAUUCACUCUUCUUCCUGCCACUGUGGUGAGGAUCAUUGAGUCUUUGACCAGCUUUAUGCAGUUGCAUGAAUACCCUUUAUGGAGGUUACCAAAUCCAGCAAAGUCAUCUUCCUACUAGAAAAAGACAGCAUCUCCUCAUCCUGCAUUCACUACAUGGUGGAACAAUGGGUGCUCAUGAGAGAUCGGGGGAAGAAAAGCAAAGAACCUGGUGUUGCCUCUUUGGGUUUUUCUGAGUUGGGAGUUUGGAGGCUGAAACCAAGAGGUCAGCUGGGACUGUGGUCUCAUCUGAGGCUUGACUGGGGGAGGAUUCACUGCCAAG